UCUUACAGGGGAAAGGGAAGAUAGGAAAAAAAGCAAAGAAAGCAAGCUAUAAAAAAGACUAGCAAUGCAUUUUCUGGAAAGACUGUUAUUAAACUAACACACCCGAGGUGGAUCUCUUUGGUCCUGCUUAGCACCUGAGCACAUUUUAUUCUUCCAGGUAUCAGCUUGCCUUCAACCUUCCAGAGAAGGGUGAAAAGCCUCUGAGCCACACCUUCAUCUGUUUCACAGUAAUAAUUAACCCUGGCAAAUAAGCAAGAGAGGGUAGCAGAUGCUGUAAUUAUAGCUGAGUACUACACACAGAGCCAAAACCCACUACUGCCUCAGUGUCACCUCUCAGAGUCACAAAGUGCAAGCAGGGGAGGUGCAGACAGACACAGAAUGCAAAGCAGGCUCCAGGCUUGGAGCUGUCAGCACAGAUCCCGAUGCGGGGCCUGAACCCACAGACUGCGAGAUCAUGACCUGAGCUGAAGUCGGUCACUCAACCAACUGAGCCACCCAGGUGCCCUGAGAAUUUUGUCUUCUAAUAGGAAAACUGGAGCACCGUAUGAGCUGGGCUGAAAUCUCUUAUUAAAUAACUUUCUUGCCUCUG